rnacentral:lncRNA from 1 species
UGUUGCUCAUCUAUCUGACCAAGGAUGUUUUGGAAUAAAAUACAAGGAAACUGGUAAUGGAAAAAUCUCUCCAUGCAGAAAUUUUUCUCAUUUCAGCUACAUACCUCAAAGCAUGAAAGUCUAUUCAUUUUAAAGCAGUCUUACAAGCUUCACUUCCUAUCUAGUAAUGGAGAAUUAUCACCCUUUAUUUUGACAUCACCUGUAAUGAAAUGAGCUUUUU